GAUGAAGAACGCAGCGAAAUGAGAUAAGUAAUGUGAAUUGCAGAAUUCAGUGAAUCAUCGAAUCUUUGAACGCACAUUGCGCCCGCCAGUAUUCUGGCGAGCAUGCCUGUUCGAGCGUCAUUUCAACCAUCAAGCCCCAGGCUUGUGUUGGAGCCCUGCGGCUGCCGCAGCCUCCCAAAACCAGUGGCGGGCUCGCUAUCACACCGAGUGCAGUAGUUUACUCUUCGCUCAGGGCGUGUGGCGGGUGCUAGCCGUGAAACCCCCAACUUCUCAAGGUUGACCUCGGAUCAGGCAGGAAUACCCGCUGAACUUAAGCAUAUCAAUAAGCGGAGGA
rnacentral:misc_RNA from 1 species